rnacentral:sRNA from 1 species
CCAGGAAGGAUUCUGUCUAUUUUUCCGGGGCAGUUCAAGCAGGAAGAGAAACGGGCUAAAUUCAAGAGGAACUUACAAAAACUAGCAGGAAUCAGCUUCAAUUUUCGCUGCGUCUCUACUUUGAGUAAUCUGUCUGCAGCUUCGGAAACUUCAAACGCGAUUUGUACCAACCAACCACGCUCACCCCAGCCCAGCUCGCUUGACCGCUAACGCCGAGGAAUUUGGCAUACAGCGCCAUCAACGAGUGGCUCGGUGCGGAGGCGUGCGGCGUCAUGGUCGCCCGGUCGUCGUCACGCAGCAGCACAUCCACUUCGUGUCUCCGAGGCUCGGACAGGUCGGUACUGGGCGGUAGGUCCAAUGUGCCCAACUUUUCAACUGCUUUUCUACCAGCCCACUCCAAUCAGACCACACUUGUUCAGGUCAAUCAAUGCCCCAUGCAAAGACUGCCCUGAGAAAUGAGACUUUUUAAGGGGGUGUUUGCGAGCUCUCAAAAACAUAAGUUCUUAGGGUAAGGACACUUUUAUGAGAGGGACUAAAGUUUAGUCUCUAGUUGCUAAACUUUAGCCCCUCUCUUAAAAACAUAAGUCCUUAGGGUAGUGACUUAUUCUUUUGUGAGAGGGACUAAAGUUUAGUUCAAUUGUUCAAUGCUUCCAUCCAUUGUUACCUUCGCAACAAAAUCUAAGAUCCUCCUGCGAUGCUAUCUUAAUUUGGAAGUAGUGGUGGAAUCAUUGCCGCAUAUGUACAGUAACGAUUAUUUUUAAGAUUUAUAAUCUUAAAAUAAGUCUCAUCCCAUCCUAAAUUAUAAUAUUUUAGGAUGGAGGGAGU